UUUAAUUAAUUAACAAACAGAUGUGGUAUAUGUAACAGUAGUAGUGUGAUUAGUGGGCGUGCACUUGCUAUAUAGACGAUUGUAAUCAUAAAUAUAGAGAGUCGGUACUUGACCGUCAAGGACUGUCGUUGUCUCGGUAUCCAAGCGAUCCUUGUCCGUGUUGUCUACUCGUAUAGUAGCAUAUCAUAUCUGGUGUCAAGGAGUGGGAUUUCCUGAGUGGAUUUGAGCGACCAGGAAUCGAACAUCGCGGAAAUGGCCGAAGAGGUGCAGCAUGAAGUGCAGCCGAACGUAGUUGUUCAAGUCCCUCGUACGCCACAGCUGCCAGAACCGUUUGGUGACGGUGAUUUCGAGCUCUUGGUGAAGCGCUUUGACAUCUGCGCGAAGGCGAAUCGUUGGAAUGCAGACGAGAAGCUACUAAGGCUUCCGCUGCUGCUGAAAGAAAGGGUAUUCGCUGUAUAAAAGACACGCAACUGCCGAGUCGUAAGAUGACCUGGUAAAAGGGAUCAAGCAGUCUUUUGCCCCGGACACAGAAGAAGCUCGUCAAUUAGCGGAUCGACAGCUGCAAGACCGGAAAAUGCAGGCUGGAGAGGAUGUAGAGGUCUUCCUACGAGCGUUAGAGCGGCUGAUCGAUCGGGCAGCGCCGAAUUUGCCUAACGAACUUCGUAAUAGGCAAUUGAUCGAUUACUUUCUGGAGGGUUUGCCAACGCCUGUCGCGGAUCAAUUGUUCAUCCACGCCCCUAAAACGCUUGAAGAUACGGUUACGCGAGCUAGGGAGUUGAUGCUGUUGGAGAAGCGCAGAGGCUUGCGAGCUAGGCGAAUCGCUGGAAUAACGGCGUGUGAGGAUGACGACGAAGAAGAGAGUGCGUCGGGUCACAUUAUGAGAGCAAUGCGAGCUAUAUCAGAUCAACUGGACACUCUCGAGAAGACAUCACACCUGGUAAGAGGGGAGGCGAAGCAGACACAACGGAAUGGCAAACAAGUGCAAUGUUUUGCUUGUGAUAUCGUGGGAAGGACAUUGGUCCAUGUUAUGUUUGUGGUGAGUUAGGCCAUUUGGCACGGACGUGUUCUCGCAGAAGAAUGGUGUUGGGGCGUGACAAAGUGACAGAUGCGGAACAAAUGCAGAGUACAAUGAAGGCUCUAAUAAAGAAAACGGUUUCGAGAGGAAUCAAGAGUUCAUUUGGCGAGCUGGAGAAAAAGCACAUUGCAUCUUGUCGUUGGACUCAGAAGAGAAGUGUGUUGUAUCACCUAGUGGCAAGCUUAAGGAUCUUUUUCAAAAAGACAUACAAUGCAUAAAAAGCAAUUUACAACAAGUUCAAAACACUCUCCUGCUAGUGAAUGCUGCUCAGGCAGAGUUGAAAUCAAAUGUUGACUCAUUGACUUCUCAGUCGGAUACCAGCACAGUUAUGAUAGAGGAUAUACACAAAAUAUUGCUUCAGUACAAGCAGAUGAAGGUUCCUGUUAAAGUUGAGAAGACUGAUCUUCCACCUCACCAAGCUCAACAUACUCAAACAAGGAGCACAUCAUCAGUGGAAGAGCUUGACAGGUCUGUUGUUAUGUUGGAAUCACCGGCUGCUCCAUCUCCUAUACAAGAUGCUUCAUGAAGUGAAGUUGCGUUUGUUGGAGAUAGAAGACUGAAUGUGAUGGUUCCUUUUCUGUGCUUAAACAAAGCUGAGGCUGCUAUUAACAGAACAGAGUUAGCAAGAAACCUGCUAGACACUCUGUUUUCUAAGGAAGAGCAGGCUUCCAGCAGCAUAACAGGGAAAACACAAGAAAAGCGACAGCUGGAUGUGAAGAAAAUGGAAGCUUUAAGAAUGGUGUUCAGGUCACUGUAUGCUGAGAUUUCAUUUGGGUCCAGUUGAAAACCUAAAGGUCGUUUUGAACAAGGUGAACAAAGUGCUUGGAGACAAGUGCCGAUUUCCGUCUAAGAAGUGACUGGUGUAGUUUAUGUGAGACUUGUUGCAGUGUAGUACCGUAUAGUAGAGAUCGAUAUUCUGAAUUGAUGUGGCAUUGAUAUACGCAUACAUAGUACACAAAAGGUCCGGCGAGUUUCUCGUUUGCAACUAAUUCGGUACGAAUUCACUGAGUAUAGAAAUGGCCACAAUACGCAGAGAAUUCGAAUAGACUCCGCCUCCGUU